rnacentral:rRNA from 1 species
CGGUGGAGCAUGUGGUUUAAUUCGAAGCAACGCGAAGAACCUUACCAGGUCUUGACAUCCCGAUGCUAUUUCUAGAGAUAGAAAGUUACUUCGGUACAUCGGUGACAGGUGGUGCAUGGUUGUCGUCAGCUCGUGUCGUGAGAUGUUGGGUUAAGUCCCGCAACGAGCGCAACCCCUAUUGUUAGUUGCCAUCAUUCAGUUGGGCACUCUAGCGAGACUGCCGGUAAUAAACCGGAGGAAGGUGGGAUGACGUCAAAUCAUCAUGCCCCUUAUGACCUGGGCUACACACGUGCUACAAUGGUUGGUACAACGAGUUGCGAGUCGGUGACGGCGAGCUAAUCUCUUAAAGCCAAUCUCAGUUCGGAUUGUAGGCUGCAACUCGCCUACAUGAAGUCGGAAUCGCUAGUAAUCGCGGAUCAGCACGCCGCGGUGAAUACGUUCCCGGGCCUU